UACGUAGGGUGCGAGCGUUGUCCGGAAUUAUUGGGCGUAAAGAGCUCGUAGGCGGUCUGUCGCGUCGGAUGUGAAAACUCGGGGCUCAACCCCGAGCCUGCAUUCGAUACGGGCAGACUAGAGUUCGGUAGGGGAGACUGGAAUUCCUGGUGUAGCGGUGAAAUGCGCAGAUAUCAGGAGGAACACCGGUGGCGAAGGCGGGUCUCUGGGCCGAUACUGACGCUGAGGCACGAAGGCCAGGGGAGCAAACGGG
rnacentral:rRNA from 1 species